rnacentral:rRNA from 1 species
CACGUAGGGGGCGAGCGUUGUCCGGAUUUAUUGGGCGUAAAGAGCUCGUAGGCGGUUUGGCAAGUCGGGUGUGAAAUUUCGAGGCUCAACCUCGAAACGCCACUCGAUACUGCCAUGACUGGAGUCCGGUAGAGGAGUGCGGAAUUCCUGGUGUAGCGGUGAAAUGCGCAGAUAUCAGGAGGAACACCGGUGGCGAAGGCGGGUCUCUGGGCCGAUACUGACGCUGAGGAGCGAAAGCGUGGGGAGCGAACAGG